GUAACUUUUGACGCUCUAGCGGUUAAUAAACAGAACUGCUUGCGUCUUGCGGAAGAACAUUGUAGCCGGAGCUACUUCUCUCUGUUCAUGUCUAUGAAGAAUCACAAAGGUACCGGGUUACUCCGCCGCGGUACCCCCGAAGCAAUCUAAAAUAGUCCGAAUAUAAACACUUAUUAUAGAUGUACCCUAAGCCAUAUAGAGAGAGAGUUGCGACAACUCCAUUGACUCCAAUGGAACGCUUUUUUUACAGCAAUGGCGGCUCGUGGAGCCUCUAAAUAGUUCCCGGAAGUAGCAGCAAACCGAUGCCGCGCCGUAGAGAUGCAGCAGAACAAACCGUUUGCGACGCACUUUUAAAAGGUGGAGGAUUAGUGCUGCCACUGGACUGUUCUGUGAUGGAGCAUCAGUGAGGAUGCAGACCCAGGUAACUGGCUGAUGGUUCACUGGAAUGCUGACUG